rnacentral:rRNA from 1 species
UACGGAGGGUGCGAGCGUUGUCCGGAAUCACUGGGCGUAAAGGGUGCGUAGGUGGUGAGGUAAGUCGGAUGUGAAAGCUCGGAGCUCAACUCCGAAAUGGCAUUGGAAACUACCUUGCUCGAGGGUUGGAGGGGGGACUGGAAUACUUGGUGUAGCAGUGAAAUGCGUAGAUAUCAAGUGGAACACCAGUGGCGAAGGCGAGUCCCUGGACAACUCCUGACACUGAGGCACGAAAGCUAGGGGAGCAAACAGG